rnacentral:rRNA from 1 species
AUACGUAGGUGGCAAGCGUUGUCCGGAAUUAUUGGGCGUAAAGCGCAUGUAGGCGGUGCCUUAAGUCUGUCGUGAAACUGCGGGGCCUAACCCCGUAUGGCGAUGGAAACUGUGGCACUUGAGUGCAGGAGAGGAAAGGGGAACUCCCAGUGUAGCGGUGAAAUGCGUAGAUAUUGGGAAGAACACCGGUGGCGAAGGCGCCUUUCUGGACUGUGUCUGACGCUGAGAUGCGAAAGCCAGGGUAGCGAACGGGAUUAGAUACCCCGGUAGUCCUGGCCGUAAACGAUGGGUACUAGGUGUGGGAGGUAUCGACCCCUUCCGUGCCGGAGUUAACGCAAUAAGUACCCCGCUUGGGUAGUACGGCCGCAAGGCUUAAACUCAAAGGAAUUGACGGGG